rnacentral:rRNA from 1 species
UACGUAGGUGGCAAGCGUUGUCCGGAUUUACUGGGCGUAAAGAGCGCGCAGGCGGUCGUUCAAGUCGCGUGUGAAAGCCCCCGGCUCAACUGGGGAGGGUCACGCGAUACUGAUCGACUGGAAGGCAGGAGAGGGUAGUGGAAUUCCCGGUGUAGUGGUGAAAUGCGUAGAUAUCGCUUGGAACGCCGACGGCGAAAGCAGUCUGCUGGGGGUGUGCUGACGCUGAGACACGAAAGCCAGGGGAGCGAACGGG